rnacentral:rRNA from 1 species
CCCUUUGAUACUCUGGGCGGCACGCGCGCUACAAUGGAUCACUUAACGUGUUACAUGUCCGAAAGGAUGUAUGCAAAUCACAAAUGUUAUGUCUCGAGUGGGAUAGUUUACUGCAAUUAUAGACUUGAACUAGGAAUCCCUUGUAGGUACACUGAAGCAUAGUGUACCGAAUACGUCCCUGCCGUUUGUACACACCGCCCGUCGUUUCUUCCGACUGAUACUCAUUGUGAAUUGCGGGGAUAACGUUGUUGAAAACCGUUGUAAAUGCUGGGUAUUGGAGGAAGAAAAAGUCGUAACA